rnacentral:lncRNA from 1 species
AGAGAUACAAUGGUGAUAUAAACGGUUGAUAGAGAUGAAUAAUGACGAAUCCAUAAUGUGACGAAGAGUGAUGACGAAGAUAUUAUAUAUAUGUAAUUAAAUAAAUACGAUGAGAAAUGAUAAUGUUUAUAUGUUAGUGAUGAUGAGGAUGACGAUAACUAUAUCAGUAUGAUGAUGAGAGUAAUGAUGUUUAUCUAUGAUGAUGAUGAG